UGCCUGAAAUUCAUUACUUUUCCUUAAUAAGGAAACUCAUAUUCCAGAGAAAAUUGGCCACUGAAAGCAGAAGACUGCCUAGAACCAAAGGCUAUUCAGCCGGGGAAAGCUAAUCAUUCAAGGUCCAAGCCACUUCAAUUUUGUCACGUGAAUUGCUGUAUCAUAUCUGUUUGAAGUCUGAAUCUGCACGUUUAUAAUUUUGUGGCUUCUUUGUGACACGUCCUUGGUGAUCUCAGUGAUCUUGAGACAUUUUCCAAAUAUUUGUCUCCUCUUCCAUACUCUCCCAAUGACUUCAGCAGACAUCCAGGUCUGAGUGUUAUGUUGAAGGUGGGUCUUUUAUUGAUUUUUUCUGCAGAGAUUUACAGCAAGGCUUGACCUCCAAUAAGUCCUUUUUUGCAGAUAAUACAAUGUGGCAGAUUGAGACAAACAGAUGAUUAUAUGGAGUGAUUUUUCUGAGGAGAGAGGGAAUAAAACAUUCUUCACUUAGCCUGGAAAAGAUUAC
rnacentral:lncRNA from 1 species